rnacentral:lncRNA from 1 species
UGUAUAAGAUAGAGAUACGUCAUAGGCGAACACAAAACGUAUAUUUAUAUGCGCGAUGUGGCACAAUAGAUGACGGCGUCUUUAAGACUCACGUUACAUAAAUUUACGACACAGGCGGUGGCUCGUCGCAGGACGAUAUACGUAUAUCUAUAUACGCAUCACGGAUCCUUGCACCUUACGCAUACCUUUCUGCCACGUAUUUAUAUAUGUAUGUAUGUACUCAAAUACACAGAACGCAGCUGAAUUUUAGGUUACGAAGGAAUGCUGCUACUCUGGGGGCGGCGUCGUCGGAGAAAAUGGAAUGGGAGGAGAGCAGAGGGUAGUUUUUGCUUCUUUCCGAGGCGACAACCGAGACGCGAAAAUCGGGGAUACCCGAAGUCGGAGCAGCGAAGUGUGAACGCGAUACCAGAACGUACGCCGCAGGCAGGCGGCUACACGCGGGACGGGACGCCCGGCGUCGCAGCAGCCAUCAAGGAUCAACCGCCGUCCCGAGUGCGCGACUGGUGCCCUUUCCUUCGGGGGUAACAAAUGCAGGGUUCAAACUGGAUUCCCUUCGCCUCUGCAAUCGCGGGCCGCAAAGAGUCUGAGACACAAUGCUAACAAGGGCUACAGGUUGAUUUUUUACCUGCGCGUGUGUUCCUAUAAGGGCCGUGGCGGACCCCCUGGCCAUACCUGCACACCAACCGCCGCCUGAAGAGAGAUGAUAUUCGACCACCGGCAGCUGUCCGUAUCGAGUCUCAUUCUCUUAUGCGGCAGUAAACUACUGUCCGAGUUCAAUGCGGGUAUAACCGAUUCAGCUUCGACAGGAGGCAUUCGGACGUUUAUGUCCACGUUUCGACGCACGUGCGAUAAGGAGCAUACUCGAGGUACUCCGGACGGUUAACAAGAGGACAGCUUCUGCAGUGUGGACAACGUCUUGAUAUUUCGGCAGGUCGACGCACACCUAUACCUACACAUACAUUGUGGAUAUAUCUAUAUCGCUGAGGGACCACGCGCCUACAACCGUAACACAAAUAAGAACCACUCGGAACUCGAGACAGUUAUCGCCCCGGCGAUGCCCAAUCAGGAAUCUACGCUCAUCCGGGGUUAAUUAAAAGAUGAUUACCUAAUGAGGAUCAUCGUAGGAACAUAAAAUCCCACGGGUCCUGAUACAGGGAACCCUGAAAUAACACAGCCCGGCCAUGGACUCGGAAUUAGGUAUACAUAUACUCAAAGUUUCAGAAUCGGAAAUCUGAUUGCGUCUGCAUGCGCGGUGCCAUUUUAUUCACAUAUUUGGAUAAUGUACGCACAUCUGGCUGUAUACCCCUAUACAUGCAUACGUACAAUACUUAACGAAUGUGCCGAUGACACGGGCUAGUUUAAUUGGGCUGUAUCAUAACUUUGAAAGUAGAAAAUGGUUUCUGUAUACAUAUGCGCUUCGUUGUAUAUAAUAAUCAAGCUAGAUAACCAGCAAUUAGCAUGCUCUACAGAAAAUAAUUAUCGAAAUACUCGUCAUGUUUCUGAUAUAACGUGAGACACUCGACGGUUAAUUUGUUCCCCAAAUCGAAUAGUUGCUGGUAAAAAAUGGCUGCUCUAACAAAGUGAGGAAACCCGUGAAAACCUGUCUGAUUUGAAUAAAAAAGACGCGUGCUUCUAUAUUCAUUACGUGAAUGAUGAAAUAGGGAUGCGUCGAAUUAGGCAUCUACGGUUUGUAUAAGGCACGUUACGAUCAGGAAACGGGAUCCGUUGUCUUUAAUCUUUGUGUUGCGUUAUCCCCGCGAGAUUUAGCACAUAAUUCUAUCAAAUUCUAGCCUCUCUGGAUCAUGGCUUUGAUCUCUCCUGGCUUUUAAGCAAAUCGGCGAAAAGAUACGAUAUAACGCUGCAUCAUAAUACGGGACGGACGAAGAGACAAAAUCGUAUGGUUGUCACCACCAACAUAUCUGAAUGUAAGCAAAGUUUGACGAAAGACAAGACAUAUAGUUCGAUCAUUUAAAAAAAUAUUGUUUUUGCGGUUACCGUAUUGAUCGGCGGCGGGAAAUCGAUUGCAUCUGCGAAUUUUGCUGGUGCAUCCAUUUCACACAGUCUUACACGUAUAUACGUAGGUGAAUUAGUUGUCCCCUGUUGUAUAAAGGGACAUGGCAGGGAGGGAGUCACGGAUCGGUUGUCACCGUGUCACAUGCCCCCCCCCCCCCUUGCAGAUAUCCGCAGCGUUGAUCUUCACGGUUAAUAUAUUUCCAUCGUAAAAUCAAUUAGCAUCAACGGUGCACACCGAAGAGUAGAUGCUGCACUCUCUGCACUCUGACUACAUUACAGUGAUAGUCCUCGGGGUGAUUCUCACUUCUCCCCCGUCCCAUGCCCCUCCCCUGAAGGUGGAGGCUACACUACACCCACCCACGGUCGCACAUUCCUCUUCUUGCUUCCCCGUGUCAAGUCUGAUUGCACCCUACGCUCAAUUCGUAUUGUUGUACAAAAGGUGCGCGCGUGCCAAGACGGGUCGUCCUAAACCAUAUAUUGUCAGUAAGCGGCAUAAAUACCGCAAGAUAUCCCUCUCACGGUUCUUAACUUCUGCAACACCAGCCCUGCUGGACGCGUGAUAAAUCACACCUCGCGUGUUGAUUCUUUUUUUCUACCAAUUUUUCUUCUCCUCUUACACCGUACAUGGAUUUUUCGUGUGAAAUGUUUUCAUUUUUUCCCAUUUGAGUUCAAACUUAAUACUAAAAUAUAAUUUGUAGGAUAAGGCGCCACCUGCAUCAUGGUAAUUAACCCUUUGAGUCAUAGUGGUAAGUAUUCUUACCAUCUAUUUUAUAUACAUUUUUUUGUAUCUUUACAACAUAAUUCUUCGCUGAUAACUGCUAUUUUUGCUAGUAUACUAAUAGGUUUUCAAUACUCGAGAGUAAUUGUUGGGAUAUAAUGUAAAUUAUUAUUGUUAGAAAU